GAAAGUAGCUCAGCUGGUAGAGCAUCACCUUGCCAAGGUGAGGGUCGCGAGUUCGAAUCUCGUCUUUC
rnacentral:tRNA from 2 species